rnacentral:rRNA from 1 species
AUGGCCCGCGGUGCAGCUACUCAGCUCGUGCUGGUCGCCAUGGUGGCCGCUAUGCUCCUCGUAGCCUGCGAUGCGGCGAUAUCCUGCGGUCAGGUGACCUCUGCCUUGAGCCCCUGCAUCUCCUAUGCACGCGGCAACGGCGCCAACCCGCCUGCGGCCUGCUGCAGCGGCGUCAGGAGUCUGGCCGGUGCAGCCCAGAGCACCGCUGACAAGCAAGCAGCGUGCAAGUGCAUCAAGAGCGCUGCUGGUGGGCUCAACGCUGGCAAGGCCGCCGGCAUCCCUUCAAAGUGCGGCGUCAGCGUCCCCUACGCCAUCAGCUCAUCUGUGGACUGUUCUAAGAUUCGUUGA